GGGGAUUUAGCUCAGUGGCACAGCACCUGCCUCACAAGCACAAGGUCCUGAGUUCAAUCCCCA
rnacentral:tRNA from 1 species